rnacentral:rRNA from 1 species
UUGGAGAGUUUGAUCCUGGCUCAGGACGAACGCUGGCGGCGUGCUUAACACAUGCAAGUCGAACGGAAAGGUCUCUUCGGAGACACUCGAGUGGCGAACGGGUGAGUAACACGUGGGCAAUCUGCCCUGCACACCGGGAUAAGCCUGGGAAACUGGGUCUAAUACCGGAUAGGACCACUUGGCGCAUGCCUUGUGGUGGAAAGCUUUUGCGGUGUGGGAUGGGCCCGCGGCCUAUCAGCUUGUUGGUGGGGUGACGGCCUACCAAGGCGACGACGGGUAGCCGGCCUGAGAGGGUGUCCGGCCACACUGGGACUGAGAUACGGCCCAGACUCCUACGGGAGGCAGCAGUGGGGAAUAUUGCACAAUGGGCGCAAGCCUGAUGCAGCGACGCCGCGUGGGGGAUGACGGCCUUCGGGUUGUAAACCUCUUUCACCAUCGACGAAGGUCCGGGUUCUCUCGGAUUGACGGUAGGUGGAGAAGAAGCACCGGCCAACUACGUGCCAGCAGCCGCGGUAAUACGUAGGGUGCGAGCGUUGUCCGGAAUUACUGGGCGUAAAGAGCUCGUAGGUGGUUUGUCGCGUUGUUCGUGAAAUCUCACGGCUUAACUGUGAGCGUGCGGGCGAUACGGGCAGACUAGAGUACUGCAGGGGAGACUGGAAUUCCUGGUGUAGCGGUGGAAUGCGCAGAUAUCAGGAGGAACACCGGUGGCGAAGGCGGGUCUCUGGGCAGUAACUGACGCUGAGGAGCGAAAGCGUGGGGAGCGAACAGGAUUAGAUACCCUGGUAGUCCACGCCGUAAACGGUGGGUACUAGGUGUGGGUUUCCUUCCUUGGGAUCCGUGCCGUAGCUAACGCAUUAAGUACCCCGCCUGGGGAGUACGGCCGCAAGGCUAAAACUCAAAGGAAUUGACGGGGGCCCGCACAAGCGGCGGAGCAUGUGGAUUAAUUCGAUGCAACGCGAAGAACCUUACCUGGGUUUGACAUGCACAGGACGCGUCUAGAGAUAGGCGUUCCCUUGUGGCCUGUGUGCAGGUGGUGCAUGGCUGUCGUCAGCUCGUGUCGUGAGAUGUUGGGUUAAGUCCCGCAACGAGCGCAACCCUUGUCUCAUGUUGCCAGCGGGUAAUGCCGGGGACUCGUGAGAGACUGCCGGGGUCAACUCGGAGGAAGGUGGGGAUGACGUCAAGUCAUCAUGCCCCUUAUGUCCAGGGCUUCACACAUGCUACAAUGGCCGGUACAAAGGGCUGCGAUGCCGCGAGGUUAAGCGAAUCCUUUUAAAGCCGGUCUCAGUUCGGAUCGGGGUCUGCAACUCGACCCCGUGAAGUCGGAGUCGCUAGUAAUCGCAGAUCAGCAACGCUGCGGUGAAUACGUUCCCGGGCCUUGUACACACCGCCCGUCACGUCAUGAAAGUCGGUAACACCCGAAGCCAGUGGCCUAACCCUCGGGAGGGAGCUGUCGAAGGUGGGAUCGGCGAUUGGGACGAAGUCGUAACAAGGUAGCCG